rnacentral:rRNA from 1 species
UACGAAGGGGGCUAGCGUUGCUCGGAAUUACUGGGCGUAAAGGGCGCGUAGGCGGAUCGUUAAGUCAGAGGUGAAAUCCCAGGGCUCAACCCUGGAACUGCCUUUGAUACUGGCGAUCUUGAGUAUGAGAGAGGUAUGUGGAACUCCGAGUGUAGAGGUGAAAUUCGUAGAUAUUCGGAAGAACACCAGUGGCGAAGGCGACAUACUGGCUCAUUACUGACGCUGAGGCGCGAAAGCGUGGGGAG